AGAGUUUGAUCCUGGCUCAGGAUGAACGCUGGCGGCGUGCUUAACACAUGCAAGUCGAACGGAGAUCAACUUAACAGAGACUUCGGUUGAAGUUGUUUUGAUCUUAGUGGCGGACGGGUGAGUAACGCGUGGGUAACCUGCCUUAUACAGGGGGAUAACAGUUAGAAAUGACUGCUCAUACCGCAUAAGCGCACGGCUCCGCAUGGAGCAGUGUGAAAAACUGAGGUGGUAUAAGAUGGACCCGCGUCUGAUUAGCUGGUUGGUGGGGUAACGGCCUACCAAGGCGACGAUCAGUAGCCGACCUGAGAGGGUGACCGGCCACAUUGGGACUGAGACACGGCCCAAACUCCUACGGGAGGCAGCAGUGGGGAAUAUUGCACAAUGGGGGAAACCCUGAUGCAGCGACGCCGCGUGAGUGAAGAAGUAUUUCGGUAUGUAAAGCUCUAUCAGCAGGGAAGAAAAUGACGGUACCUGACUAAGAAGCCCCGGCUAACUACGUGCCAGCAGCCGCGGUAAUACGUAGGGGGCAAGCGUUAUCCGGAUUUACUGGGUGUAAAGGGAGCGUAGACGGCGAGGCAAGUCUGAAGUGAAAGCCCGGGGCUUAACCGCGGGACUGCUUUGGAAACUGUCAUGCUAGAGUGCUGGAGAGGUAAGUGGAAUUCCUAGUGUAGCGGUGAAAUGCGUAGAUAUUAGGAGAAACACCAGUGGCGAAGGCGGCUUACUGGACAGUAACUGACGUUGAGGCUCGAAAGCGUGGGGAGCAAACAAAAGUAGAUACCCUGGUAGUCCAUGCCGUAAAC
rnacentral:rRNA from 1 species